rnacentral:rRNA from 1 species
GGGCUUGAAUCUGGCAAAGGGGGGUAGAAUUCCACGUGUAGCAGUGAAAUGCGUAAAUAUGUGGAGGAACACCGAUGGCGAAGGCAGCCCCCUGGGUCAAGAUUGACGCUCAUGCACGAAAGCGUGGGGAGCAAACAGGAUUAGAUACCCUGGUAGUCCACGCCCUAAACGAUGUCUACUAGUUGUCGGGUCUUAAUUGACUUGGUAACGCAGCUGACGCGUGAAGUAGACCGCCUGGGGAGUACAGUCGCAAGAUUAAAACUCAGAGGAAUUGACAGG